rnacentral:rRNA from 1 species
UUUGACCUCAAAUCAGGUAGGACUACCCGCUGAACUUAAGCAUAUCAAUAAGCGGAGGAAAAGAAACCAACAGGGAUUGCCUCAGUAGCGGCGAGUGAAGCGGCAAAAGCUCAAAUUUGAAAUCUGGCGUCUUUGGCGUCCGAGUUGUAAUUUGAAGAAGGUAUCUUUGGGCCCGGCUCUUGUCUAUGUUCCUUGGAACAGGACGUCACAGAGGGUGAGAAUCCCGUGCGAUGAGAUGACCCGGGUCUGUGUAAAGUUCCUUCGACGAGUCGAGUUGUUGGGGGAAUGCACCU